GAUGAACGCUAGCGGCAGGCUUAAUACAUGCAAGUCGUGGGGCAGCAGGACUGUAGCCAUCCAGUUGCUGGCGACCGGCACACGGGUGCGGAAUACGUACGCAACUUACCCUGAACUGGGGGAUAGCCCGGGGAAACCCGGAUUAAUACCCCGUAAUAUAAUGGAGUUGCAUCACUUUAUUAUUAAAGCUCCGGCGGUUCGGGAUGGGCGUGCGGCUGAUUAGGUAGUUGGUUGAGGUAACGGCUCACCAAGCCUACGAUCAGUAACUGGUGUGAGAGCACGACCAGUCACACGGGCACUGAGACACGGGCCCGACUCCUACGGGAGGCAGCAGUAAGGAAUAUUGGGCAAUGGAGGCAACUCUGACCCAGCCAUGCCGCGUGGAGGAUGAAGGCACUCUGGGUUGUAAACUUCUUUUAUAGGGGAAGAAACCUGUGUAUUCUUACGCAGUUGACGGUACCCGAGGAAUAAGCACCGGCUAACUCCGUG
rnacentral:rRNA from 1 species